UGGUUUAAUUCGAUGCAACGCGAAGAACCUUACCUACUCUUGACAUCCACGGAAUUCGCCAGAGAUGGCUUAGUGCCUUCGGGAACCGUGAGACAGGUGCUGCAUGGCUGUCGUCAGCUCGUGUUGUGAAAUGUUGGGUUAAGUCCCGCAACGAGCGCAACCCUUAUCCUUUGUUGCCAGCGAGUAAUGUCGGGAACUCAAAGGAGACUGCCGGUGAUAAACCGGAGGAAGGUGGGGAUGACGUCAAGUCAUCAUGGCCCUUACGAGUAGGGCUACACACGUGCUACAAUGGCAUAUACAAAGAGAAGCGAACUCGCGAGAGCAAGCGGACCUCAUAAAGUAUGUCGUAGUCCGGAUUGGAGUCUGCAAC
rnacentral:rRNA from 1 species